rnacentral:rRNA from 1 species
UGGAGAAGUGGCAAGUCUUCCAGUAUGGGGAGCAAAACAGCUAUGGGUCAAGUCCGAUAUCUUUAGGAGAAGUCUUAUUGUGAGGGCGAGUUAUAUAACACCAUAGGACUGGCCGUCCCAUAUGAAAAGAUUAUAUUAGAAUUGAAUGAAGCUUUGUUUAUAUAUUGAUAAUGACAGUAUAUAUAUCGUGUCUUGACUAAUUGCGUGCCAGCAGUCGCGGUAAUACGUAAGAGACUAGUGUUAUUCAUCUUAAUUAGGUUUAAAGGGUACCCAGACGGUCAAUAUAGCUUAUAAAAUGUUAGUACUUGACUAGAGUUUUAUGUAAGAGGGCAGUACUUGAGGAGGAGAGAUGAAAUUUCGUGAUACCAAAGGGACUCUGUAAAGGCGAAGGCAGCCCUCUAUGUAAAAACUGACGUUGAAGGACGAAGGCACAGAGAACAAACAGGAUUAGAUACCCAAGUAGUCUUUGCAGUAAAUGAUGAAUGCCAUAGGUUAGAUGGGUCAAUUAUAGUCUAGGGUUAGUCUAGCAAACUAAUACCCUAUGCUAUAAUUCCUAAUAUCUGGUCUAUAAAUGAAAGUG